rnacentral:lncRNA from 1 species
UUUAUAACUUAUGCAAAAAGUUAUUGCUCUCUCUGAGGAUUGAACCGGGGAUCCCAGUAACAGCAAAUAUGCACUCAACCUGUUCAUCUGUCACACUGAUGAUAUGAGAUAAGAAAUGAGAUUGUUCUUGAGCUCAACCUUGUCUGUUCAUGUAUAUAGUGUCAGCUUGUACUCCCACAAUGAAAUUUACUAAAUUAUUGUUGUAAACUUUCAAAAAAUAAUGGAUCCAGUAAGAUCACUUUUUUACAAAACAGUUAUGUGGAGUUGUGGAUAAUAUUUUGAAUAGCAACAUUCAAAAGACUCAGUAUAAUAUCUUACAGUUAUAACAGAAAUAAUUUGAAGAUAGGUUCCAAUUGGUUCAAGGAAAAACCAUAUUGAUCUGGGGGUUAGAAGGUUAAAGGGCAGUCCACCCGUCUGUGAUUAUCAUUAUCACCAGGUCCUUCGAUUCUCUGUUAUAUUGUUUUAUUGCAGUCAGUAAUUAUUGUAAAAUUAUAGUCAAAAAUACUGAUUUUAAACCAGGAUUCUGUUUUUGUUAAAUAAUAUUUAAAAGUAGAGAUGUAUAUAAAAGUAACAAACCGUUUUAUAAAAUAUUUUAAUAAUAAAUUACCCUAUGAAACCUUACUUUUGGGUAGAAAAAUAGGUAAAACAGACUGUGUUUUAAUUGGAGAAAGUGUUUAAAUGAUUAAAACUGAAAAUUUGUUAUUUAAAAAAAAGUUGAAAUGAAGUAAAUACAACAUUUGAUUUAAAUGUACAUAGCACAAUUUCAUUCAGACUAUGUAUUCAGCCUAUACUUUAUGCCGAUCAGUUAUUAAGACAACUAAAUCCAUGAUUUUAGUGUGAUUGCUAUCCUACCAUUUUACUGUAGGUUUUAUUUUACAAUUGUUAAAGGGAACAAGGGAUAGCAGGGAUAAGGAAGGUCAGAUUAUCUUAUUUCCAUUGGUAUUUAAUAAGCUACUUUCGUUUGUUUAAGUUUAAAUGUUAGUUAUAACAUUCUUUAAAUCAUGAAUUGAAUAAGGUACAAGUUAUGACAAUGCAUAAACUUGUAUAUUGAAAUAAAAAGUUCUAGUGCUUACUGGAUUAUAUAAGAUAGUUAUUUAUAUUAAUAUAGUAAAAAUGAAAAAAAUGUACAACUGGCAAACAACUAAAGUAGGAAUUUUAAAUAGAUUGUGCAGUUAUAAUAUAAAGGACCUACUAACACAGAAAUAAAAUAUUUUCAAUCUCUACCAGGAAUAAUUAUUGAACAAAAACUGUGGGUUAUCUUUUUUCUUUGGUACCAUUUAUUAUCAUGAGCUGGGAUUAAAUUGUUGUUUUUCCUUGUCGCUGUGCAAGAUUGUUUAAAAAGAUGAUAUCAAUUUCAGAAUGUUUAUUUCUAAAAGCAUGUGAUAAGCCCCUGUUGAUGGUGCCAUAGUGCUGGUUGAAAAGGUUAUAAUCAUUUGUUAAGAUUGUUUUCCAAAACGGGACAUUAUUACAGCCUAAUACAGUUUAAAAUUUAAUUUAUGUUAGAAAGUUAUAAAUGGACAAAACAAAUAUUAAAGUUUGUAAAAAUAUAAAAUUAAAAACAUCACACUGAAUAGUGAGUUUUUAUGAUUCUGCGACAUGUUAGACAGCGUUCUAUACUAAAAAAUUGUGCAGUUAAAAACAUAAAUAACAUUUUGAAAAUCUUGCUAAACUCAAUUUUCCAAUUACUUACCAAUUGUGCUAAUUAAAUGCAUAUACAUAACUUAAAAUAGUCCAACUUUCCUGAGUCAAUUCUUUCAUUUUAAUAGUCUUUCCAAGAAGAAAUCAACUAAGAGUUUCAAAACAGCAUAACUUUACAGUACAUGGAAAUUAAUAUAUUACUAAUAAUUUGUUUCUUACUCAUUUUUGGAUUAUUUGUACUAAAUGUAAGAAAUACUUUUUGAUGUAUUGAAAAAAUAAACAAAAUCUUAAUCUCA